rnacentral:rRNA from 1 species
UACCAGCACCCCGAGUGGUCGGGACGAUUAUUGGGCCUAAAGCAUCCGUAGCCGGUCCUACAAGUCUUCCGUUAAAUCCACCUGCUUAACAGAUGGGCUGCGGAAGAUACUAUAGGGCUAGGAGGCGGGAGAGACAAGCGGUACUCAGGGGGUAGGGGUAAAAUCCUCUGAUCCAUUGAAGACCACCAGUGGCGAAGGCGGCUUGCCAGAACGUGCUCGACGGUGAGGGAUGAAAGCUGGGGGAGCAAACCGG